CACGUAGGGGGCGAGCGUUGUCCGGAUUUAUUGGGCGUAAAGAGCUCGUAGGUGGCUCGGUAAGUCGGGUGUGAAAUUUCGAGGCUCAACCUCGAGACGCCACUUGAUACUGCUGUGGCUAGAGUCCGGUAGGGGAGCGUGGAAUUCCUGGUGUAGCGGUGAAAUGCGCAGAUAUCAGGAGGAACACCAGCGGCGAAGGCGGCGCUCUGGGCCGGUACUGACACUGAGGAGCGAAAGCGUGGGGAUCAAACAGG
rnacentral:rRNA from 1 species